rnacentral:rRNA from 1 species
UACGUAGGUGGCAAGCGUUGUCCGGAAUUAUUGGGCGUAAAGCGCGCGCAGGCGGUCCUUUAGGUCUGAUGUGAAAGCCCACGGCUCAACCGUGGAGGGUCAUUGGAAACUGGGGGACUUGAGUACAGAAGAGAAGAGUGGAAUUCCACGUGUAGCGGUGAAAUGCGUAGAGAUGUGGAGGAACACCAGUGGCGAAGGCGACUCUUUGGUCUGUAACUGACGCUGAGGCGCGAAAGCGUGGGGAGCAAACAGGA